rnacentral:misc_RNA from 1 species
UUCGCGUUAGGGAUAGCAGCGAAAAGCCCACAGGAAAACGAAAUGAAAUGGAGUUUUGCGAGGACUUGCAGUGAAUAGCCCGACCGUUU